rnacentral:rRNA from 1 species
UGUUUUACAAAAACAUAACUCAAUGAAUAUUAAUAAUGAGCAAUUUCUGCUCAAUGAGCAAUUAAAUAGCCGCAGUAUAUUAACUGUGCUAAGGUAGCAUAAUAAUUAGUUUUUUAAUUAAAAACUAGAAUGAAUGAAAAAAUGAAGGUUUAACUUUUUUUGUUUAAAAGAUAAAAAUUAAACUUUAAGUUAAAAAGCUUAAAUAAAUAAAAAAGACAAAAAGACCCUUUAGAACUUUAUAAAAAGCAAAUUAUAACAAAAACGCCUUUUAUUUGGUUGGGGAGACAAUAAAACACAAACAACUUAUAUUAAAACCCAACACCAAUUAGUGAAAAUAAAAUAACCUACAAUAAGAAAAAAGAACAAGUUACCUAAGGGAUAACAGCGCACAACUUUUCAAAAGAUCAUAUUAACAAAAUGUAAUGCGACCUCGAUGUUGGAUUAGGAACAAUGCAAACAGAAAAAUGAUUGAAAUUGAGUCUGUUCGACUCUUAAACUCCU